rnacentral:snoRNA from 1 species
ACCUUCUCAGGAUUGCACCUGGGGAGUUCCCAGUAUUCUUCCAGUCUCAGCUAUGGGAGGGAGAGUCAAGCUGAGGCAUACCCAUUCCAUUCCUAGCUUGGACAGUGGCUAGUGAGUGGAAGGCAAUCUGCUACAAGU